rnacentral:rRNA from 1 species
UACGUAGGGUGCAAGCGUUGUCCGGAAUUAUUGGGCGUAAAGAGCUCGUAGGCGGUCUGUCGCGUCGGCUGUGAAAUCCCGGAGCUCAACUCCGGGUCUGCAGUCGAUACGGGCAGGCUAGAGGUAGGUAGGGGAGAAUGGAAUUCCCGGUGUAGCGGUGAAAUGCGCAGAUAUCUGGAGGAACACCGGUGGCGAAGGCGGCAUCCUGGACCAUUACUGACGCUGAGGAGCGAAAAGCCAGGGGGAGCAAACGGGG